GGUGAACGCUGGCGGCGUGCUUAAGACAUGCAAGUCGAACGGGCUCUUCGGAGCUAGUGGCGCACGGGUGAGUAACGCGUAACUGACCUACCCCAAAGUCGCGGAUAACGAUUCGAAAGAAUCGCUAAUACGUGAUGUGCUGUCAGAUCCUGUUCUGCCAGUAAAGAUUUAUUGCUUUGGGAUGGGGUUGCGUUCCAUCAGCUAGUUGGUGGGGUAAAGGCCCACCAAGGCGACGACGGAUAGCCGGCCUGAGAGGGUGGCCGGCCACAGGGGCACUGGGACACGGGUCCCACUCCUACGGGAGGCAGCAGUUAGGAAUCUUCCACAAUGGGCGGAAGCCUGAUGGAGCGACGCCGCGUGAGGGAUGAAGGUCUUCGGAUCGUAAACCUCUGAAUCAGGGACGAAAGACACUUUAUGUGGGAUGACGGUACCUGAGUAAUAGCACCGGCUAACUCCGUGCCAGCAGCCGCGGUAAUAC
rnacentral:rRNA from 1 species